rnacentral:rRNA from 1 species
CAGUAGCCACGGUAAUACGGAGGGUGCAAGCGUUAAUCGGAAUUACUGGGCGUAAAGCGCACGCAGGCGGUUUGUUAAGUCAGAUGUGAAAUCCCCGAGCUUAACUUGGGAACUGCAUUUGAAACUGGCAAGCUAGAGUCUUGUAGUGGGGGGUUAGAAUUCCAGGUGUAGCGGUGAAAUGCGUAGAGAUCUGGAGGAAUACCGGUGGCGAAGGCGGCCCCCUGGACAAAGACUGACGCUCAGGUGCGAAAGCGUGGGGAGCAAACAGGAUUAGAUACCCGAGUAGUCCCUGUCUCUUAUA